rnacentral:rRNA from 1 species
GACGAACGCUGGCGGCGUGCCUAAUACAUGCAAGUAGGACGCAGUUGCGAACGGGUGAGUAACGCGUAGGUAAAUGCCUAUUAGAGGGGGAUAACUAUUGGCAACGAUAGCUAAUACCGCAUACUAGUAGAUGUACCUGCGUUGUAUUAACUAGUAGGUUGGGUAAUGGCCUACCUAGGCAACGAUACAUAGCCGACCUGAGAGGGUGAUCGGCCACACUGAGACUGAGACAGGGCGCAGACUCCUACGGGGGGCAGAAGGAGGGAAUCUUCGGCAAUGGGGGGAAAGCUGACCGAGCAACGGCGCGUGAGUGAAGAAGGUUUUCGGAUCGUAAAACUCUGUUGUUAAGGAAGCGGUACUUAACCAGAAAGGGACGGCUAACUACGUGCCAGCAGCCGCGGUAAUAC